UACAGAGUGCUCAAGCGUUGUUCGGAUUCAUUGGGCGUAAAGGGUGCGUAGGCGGCGCGGUAAGUCGGAUGUGAAAUCUCGGAGCUUAACUUCGAAACUGCAUUCGAUACUGCCGUGCUUGAGGACUGGAGAGGAGACUGGAAUUUACGGUGUAGCGGUGAAAUGCGUAGAUAUCGUAAGGAAGACCAGUGGCGAAGGCGGGUCUCUGGACAGUUCCUGACGCUGAGGCACGAAGGUCAGGGGAGCAAACGGG
rnacentral:rRNA from 1 species